rnacentral:rRNA from 1 species
AGCAGUCGCCGCGGUAAUACGUAGGUGGCAAGCGUUGUCCGGAAUUAUUGGGCGUAGGGCGCGCGCAGGCGGAUCAGUCAGUCUGUCUUAAAAGUUCGGGGCUUAACCCCGUGAUGGGAUGGAAACUGCUGAUCUAGAGUAUCGGAGAGGAAAGUGGAAUUCCUAGUGUAGCGGUGAAAUGCGUAGAUAUUAGGAAGAACACCAGUGGCGAAGGCGACUUUCUGGACGAAAACUGACGCUGAGGCGCGAAAGCCAGGGGAGCGGACGGGAUUAGAUACCCCCGUAGUCCCUGUCUCUUAUACC